AGAUGGAGAAGGAAGCAGAGCUCUUCAUCCUGGGUCGGCGAGCGCCAUUGGCAUUGCUAGACACCCUGAGAUGCCAUCCUUCUCUAAAGUCCUCACAAAGAAAAUCCACAUCCCGAAGCAAACCCACACAGUCCAGCAAAUACAACCCUCUGAUCAUCUCUUGGAAACACAACUACUUGUGAGGAAAAAGAAAAAUUUAUUUUUAUCAAUUGAAUUAUCCUAAUGAUAGAAUUUUCACCAUUCAAAAUACAAGGCAAGAAAAUUUUUUUCUU
rnacentral:misc_RNA from 1 species